CAGGCUAUAGCUUAAAAGACUCAAAGCCCCUCCCUUACACUGAGAAGACAUCCGUGCAAAUCGGAUUAGACUGA
rnacentral:tRNA from 1 species